GAUGAACGCUGGCGGCGUGCCUAAUACAUGCAAGUCGAGCGAACAGACGAGGAGCUUGCUCCUCUGACGUUAGCGGCGGACGGGUGAGUAACACGUGGUUCACCUCCCUAUAAGACUGGGAUAACUUCGGGAAACCGGAGCUAAUACCGGAUAAUAUAUUGAACCGCAUGGUUCAAUAGUGAAAGCCGGUUUUGCUGUCAGUUAUAGAUGGAUCCGCGCCGCAUUAGCUAGUUGGUAAGGUAACGGCUUACCAAGGCAACGAUGCGUAGCCGACCGGAGAGAGUGAUAGGCCGCACGGGAACGGAGACACGGUCCAGACUCCUACGGGAGGCAGCAGUAGGGAAUCGGCCGCAAUGGGCGAAAGCCUUACGGAGCAACGCCGCGUGAGUGAUGAAGGUCUUCGGAUCGUAAAACUCUGUUAUUAGGGAAGAACAAAUGUGUAAGUAACUAUGCACGUCUUGACGGUACCUAGUCAGAAAGCCACGGCUAACUACGUG
rnacentral:rRNA from 1 species